rnacentral:rRNA from 1 species
AGAGUUUGAUCCUGGCUCAGGGCGAACGCUGGCGGCGUGCUUAACACAUGCAAGUGGUGCGACGAACCAGGGCUUGCCCUGGGGCAAAGCCGCGAACGGGUGAGUAACACGUGAGUAACCUGCCCCGAUGACCGGGACAACCCGAGGAAACUCGGGCUAAUACCGGAUGUGGCGCACAGACUCAAGCCUGUGCGCUAAAGGAAGCUUCGGCCUCCGCAUUGGGAGGGGCUCGCGGCCCAUUAGCUUGUUGGUGGGGUAACGGCCUACCAAGGCAACGAUGGGUAGCUGGUCUGAGAGGACGAUCAGCCACACUGGGACUGAGACACGGCCCAGACUCCUACGGGAGGCAGCAGUGGGGAAUCUUGCGCAAUGCGCGAAAGCGUGACGCAGCAACGCCGCGUGAGGGAAGACGGCCUUCGGGUUGUAAACCUCUUUCAGGAGGGACGAAGGUUCGCCGGUGAAUAGCCGUGCGGAUUGACGGUACCUCCAGAAGAAGCUCCGGCUAACUACGUGCCAGCAGCCGCGGUAAUAC